GACGAACGCUGGCGGCGUGCUUAACACAUGCAAGUCGAACGGAAAGGCCCUGCUUUUGUGGGGUGCUCGAGUGGCGAACGGGUGAGUAACACGUGAGUAACCUGCCCUUGACUUUGGGAUAACUUCAGGAAACUGGGGCUAAUACCGGAUAGGAGCUCCUGCUGCAUGGUGGGGGUUGGAAAGUUUCGGCGGUUGGGGAUGGACUCGCGGCUUAUCAGCUUGUUGGUGGGGUAGUGGCUUACCAAGGCUUUGACGGGUAGCCGGCCUGAGAGGGUGACCGGAAACAUUGGGACUGAGAUACGGCCCAGACGCAUACGGGAGGCAGCAGUGGGGAAUAUUGCACAAUGGGCGGAAGCCUGAUGCAGCAACGCCGCGUGCGGGAUGACGGCCUGCGGGUUGUAAACCGCUUUCGCCUGUGACGAAGCGUGAGUGACGGUAAUGGGUAAAGAAGCACCGGCUAACUACGUG
rnacentral:rRNA from 1 species